UUGGCCUACGGGGGGCAGCAGUGGGGCCUAUUGGGCCAUGGGCGCAAGCCUGACCCAGCAACGCCGCGUGAAGGAAGAAGGCUUUCGGGUUGUAAACUUCUUUUAUCAGGGACGAAGCAAGUGACGGUACCUGAUGAAUAAGCCACGGCUAACUACGUGCCAGCAGCCGCGGUAAUACGUAGGCGGCAAACGUUAUCCGGAUUUACUGGGUGUAAAGGGCGUGUAGGCGGGAGUGCAAGGCAGAUGUGAAAACUAUAGGCUCAACCCAUAGCCUGCAUUUGAAACUGUACUUCUUGAG
rnacentral:rRNA from 1 species